AGAACGAACGUUGAUGGCGUGCCUCAUACAUGCAAGUCGAGCGCUGUAGCAAUACGGAGCGGCGGACGGGUGAGUAACACGUAAAGAAUCUGCCCUGAAGCGGGGAAUAACUAUCCCAACGGAUAGCUAAUACCGCAUAAUGAUGAAUGUGGCAUCACAUUUUCUCAAAAGGCUUCGGCCACUUCAGGAUGACUUUGCGUCCCAUUAGCUUGUUGGCGGUGUAACGGACCACCAAGGCUACGAUGGGUA
rnacentral:rRNA from 1 species